AUGAAACCGGAGAUGGAACUGGUUCUGAAAGGGUCAAGUCACACAGAGGAGACGACGGAAGGGAACUCCAAUUCCUAUCCUUCUCAUCUUCUUUCUUCUCUCCCAAACCAAUUUCUCUUCCGUUGUCUCUGUAGUUGAACUGUUGCAGGUAGUUGAGCAGCAUUUGGGCCUAAAUGGCAGCCUUCCGAGCUUUCUGGAACAGUCCCAUUGGUCCUAAAACAACUCACUUUUGGGGUCCUGUUGCCAAUUGGGGCUUCGUUGUUGCGGGAUUGGUGGACAUGCAGAAGCCUCCUGAAAUGAUAUCGGGGAAUAUGACUGCAGCAAUGUGUGUUUAUUCAGGGUUAUUCAUGAGAUUCGCAUGGAUGGUGCAGCCACGCAAUUAUCUGCUUCUAGCAUGCCAUGCAUCAAAUGAGACAGUGCAGCUCUAUCAACUUUCACGUUGGGCAAAGGCUCAUGGGUACUUGGAGCAGAAGAAAGAGAAAGCUGAAGAACAAUGACUUGUAGAUGACGCUUUCUUCUCAAGAAACAUGUGGGACCCAUGGCAAAUUGAUUUUCCCAGGUAUCAGACUUGAUGGUGGGUCAUAAGAGAGAUUUCGUAGGAUGUGUAUUAGAAUUCUUGAGCAAGGCAUGUGCUUGUGGAGUAGGUGUAUACUCCCUAUUUUGGAAAGCAGACUUUUGGCUGCAAUCAAAUUUCCACCUUUCAGGAUAUGGUCAAUCCGUCCAUGCGAUUGUCUUACAUAAUUAUUGAAGGUUUUUUCUUGAUCUGUCACUAAUUGUUCAAUUUUCCCUGCAUCGAACUGCCUAUUAGGGACCGAGCUUCUAUGCUGAUGCACAUUCAAGGCCGACUGAAUAAUUAAGCCAAGGGUGCAAUGCCAAUUUAAACCUUUUCUGUUAAUAAAUUGAAUACUCUGUGAUUGUGUUAUAUCAUGUAUGGUUAUACACACUAGCUUCAUACCUGACAAAUGCAAAAAGUAAGAGGAGUUCAUUCGGUCAA